UAUUACCUUCAGAAAGUGGGCACACAAUACACGCGUAAGCACAGCAACAUCCGUACACGAACACCCACCGACUCGACUCCCGCAUCCGCUGUGUUUUAUCUCUUGCGUCUCUCCUCGGCCUCUGUGUGUGUGUGUGUGUGUGUGUGUGUGUGUGUGUGUGUGUGUGUUGGGGGUAGGGGGUGCAUUCGCUUGCCGCACGGCGGUUCUUUGCACCACAGCGUCCAGCCUUCCCCGCCUCACCUCCUUCAUUAUUUCGCUGUCCCUCUCGUCUCGUAGACGUUUGCUUCAGUGGCCACACACAGGAGGGAGAGGGGCAUCGAUACAAAACAAUGGACACAGCGGCCACCAAUCUGAGCGCCCACGCGAAGCCUUGGGCACCGAAUGGGCCGGGCCUGCAGCAACCGCAGAUGCAGCAUCCUCGCAGCCACAGCAACCAGUAUAGCCAGGACAGCGGCGUGAGCAGCGUUCAAGGGGCCGGCAUGCAGCGUGGCAUGCGCGCGAGAGGGUGUGCGAAUAACGGAUCCGCCAACAGCAUGAUGGUGCCUGGGCAGCACCAUCACGAGUAUGGGAGCAUGAACGGGAUGCCGCACAGCAUACAGCAGCACCAGCUGCAGCAGCCAAAACUGAGCUCAACGGCCGCGAAGCUCUUUGUAGGCCAGCUGCCGUUUGAGUGCACUGAGGAGCGGCUGCGCAACUUAUUCAGCGCAUACGGCAACGUAGAGCACAUUCACAUCUUGCGGGACAACAGCAACCGCAGUCGUGGUGCCGCCUUCAUCACCCUCUCCACCGUGCAGGAAGCCGAUACGGCCAUCUUCACUCUGCACAACCGCUACCGCAUGCUUACAAACCGCGCCAUUCAGGUCAGCUACGCCAAGAACAGCCCGAAUAUAUCCCCCUUCGGCACCCACAGCGCGGUGGAGGUGCAUCAGUCGAAUCCAACGAACCCGCUGCCGGACGUCGCCGGCCUCGCCACACAGAUGGCUCGUCUGUUCUGAUGUGGGGAAUAGCAAAACGAAAACACCACUCCAGCGACGAAAGAGAUGAAGGGAGAAAACGUCAAGUCGAAUAACGCCGCGUUGUCUGCAUGUGUGUGGGGGUGCUUGAUGGCCGCUUUAUCGACGAGGAAGCCGAUACGCGUGUCAUGGUAGCCGCUUUCGCUCUCUCCUCGUCGCUCUUGUCAGUGCUUUCUUCCCUGUGCCAUUAUGUGGCUUCUUUGGCUGCACACCACUUCCAUAGCACAGUCACGCACACAUACGCACACGUCCGCGCUCACGCGCCUCGAUGCAGCUACAUGUAACGCAUUUAAAUAAGCUGAGCACUGGCACGUGUGUGCGUGUGCGUGUGAAAAAAAAAAAAACAGAAGGCGUGGGGAAAGGCAAAGACGAACAAGAGAGGUAGAGGGGGUGGAGAAGGGACGAAGGGACGAAGGGAAGUGGCUCACACACGCACACGCACACGCACACGCUGCCACGAUCCCCCUCCCUCCCUCUUCCCGAGAGUCUCUUUCUGUUUUCUGUGCCUUCCACUUCCCCUACCCCACCGGCUCUCUCCGGGGUACGACCUCUUCCCUGAUGGAGACGUGUCUUGUUGCAAAGGAGUGACUGGACAGUGCGUGUGUGUGUGUGUGUGUUUGCUUCCGUUUUUGAUGUCGGCUGCAUACUUUGGCUGCUGAAUGGGAAGGUUCCCCCUUCACCUUGUCUCCCUUUCCCUUCCUCUUCUAUGUCUGGCCCCUGUCGGUGCCCCCUUCCUCCUCCUCCCUCCCUCCCCCCGUCCUUUCCCUAUUUUGCUUCCUUUGGUUGUUUGUGCGCUGAUGCUCCACCUGGCCACUCCGCCCCCUCCCCCUCCAGAAC
rnacentral:misc_RNA from 1 species